AGAAUCAACGCUGGCGGCGUGCCUCAGACAUGCAAGUCGAACGCGAAAGUUUCCUUCGGGAAACAAGUAGAGUGGCGCACGGGUGAGUAACACGUAGGUAAUCUACCUUUGGAUGGGGGAAUAACAACCGGAAACGGUUGCUAAUACCGCAUAAUGCAGCGGCACCUAAUGGUGACAGUUGUUAAAGCGGGGGAUCGAAAGACCUCGCGUCUAAAGAGGAGCCUGCGGCGGAUUAGCUAGUUGGUAAGGUAACGGCUUACCAAGGCUACGAUCCGUA
rnacentral:rRNA from 1 species